GCUGAGCUGCUCAAGGGCGCCCCCCAGGAGGACGAGGCCGUGCAGCUCGCCGCUAGUUCCUCUUUCCUGCCCGCCGCCUCCUCGUCCAUGCCCGCCACCAGCUCCCGUUUCCUGCCCAUCGCAGCCUCCGGCGCAUGCCAGGAACGCGCGGUCGAAGUCGCCGUUGUAGCCUGGGACGGCAGCCGAGAUGUGGCUGGGACGCGUGGACGAGGUCGCCGUUAAAGGCAACCAAGAAUCCUGUCCCGCAUCUCCGCUGCCUCUUCGCUGUCCACAAGUCCCCCGAGGCCGCCGCCUGGUCCGUACGGAUCACGGGGGCAGGGGUGGAGCCCCGCAUGGAGGAGCGAACAAGGACCUCCAAGCCAGGUACAUGUUGCGGCUGGCCGGUCCUGUUCGGUGUCGAGGGGAACGGAGGAAGGGGCGCAUCGUUCAUGCACGCGCUUGGCGCGGCCCCGCAACAGCGAUGGCUGGUAGGGGCGGCCAUGCUCCGUGGGAGGUCCGAUUCUCCGUCGCCGGGGUCGGGCCGCGGCUGGUCCAGGGAUGCAUCGAGCGCGAGCUUGCGCCAAGAGAGCAAACCGCCGAGUUGUGGAGAGGAAUUAGUGCAGCAGCCAAGAGAGGGCGAUGCUAUCCUCGGCUCUCACGGCAUUUUUUUUUUCCUUUGUUUCUGGGAUUCCUAGUGAAUGACAUUUUUCCAUUGAUGGUGAUUUUGGUGAUGGGAUCAGUGCAUUAGUUGAUUGGUUUUGGUGAAUUUGGUUUCAUGGUGAAUCUUUUAAUUUUAGUCUUGUGAAAUUUUGUGGGAUAUUUAUUGUGAUUCCUAGAUUUCUAAUUAACUUUUUUAACUUAAUUGAGAAAUUUCUAGAAGUAAAACAAUAAAUUUCUCAGUUUCUGGGUGACGGAAGCGCUGGAUCGGCGAGUGCCGGCACUGGAUCUGUGUGCCCCGCCCGGAAAACGGCACCUCGUGCCCCGUCACGCUCAUCCUGGGUGACGACAUCGGACCCCUCGUCCCCAGAGCCGUGCAGCAGGUCAUGGAGCUCGCCCCUCUAUUUCAAGACCUGGUCACGGGAGACGCGCAACGGAGCUUGACCCUCUACUCCAUCCGCCCCUGUUCUGCCUCAAGGGUGAGAAGGAACAACGAGAUCCGAAUGGUGCAAGUGCGCCAUAUGCGCCGCGAGGUCGGCAGCUGCUCGACGGCAACCAAAACAAAGACGGCAUGAAUCAGGGGAAAGCUGAAACUGAGUUCAGACUGGUAGCACGUGUAGUCUGAUGGAUAAAGUAACUCAUGACGGCUCCUACAACACCGGAGUAGCGAGAGGACGCCGCUUGCGCAUGGGAGCACUGGGACGCCGUCAACUUCAACUUCUUAUCGGAGCAGCACGAUGACCGCCACCACUACCAAGACCAGUAACUCUAGUUUUUCUCUGAAUAUGUUCCAUGCCGCGGCCACGAUUCCACUUUUUAGCCCCGCCUCUCAUCGUGCUCCCGUCCAUCCUGCUUAGUUUCUCAAAUCAAAUGAAGACCAGAGGGCGCAGGCGGGCAACUGGUUGAGCGCAGUAGAGCUCGAACCCCUGGCGCUGGAGAGGGUGAUUCGUGGUCCAUGUUGUGACAUCCUGCAUGGUCACUGUGUCUAUCAAAUAAGCACUAGACUAUACCACAGUAUUGCAGCAACAAAUAAAGUACUGCUUGCUUGUUAAAUUCCUGCGUCGGCUAUGAGUUACUGGGAAAUGGAGGCGCUGGAUCUGCCGUGCACGGCUUGCCUUAGGUUGAUCACAAUGCUGCGGGAAGACUAUCGCCCGCCCCGCUACGUCUCGAAAAGAAACUCAGAAAGGUGCUUCAGGGAGAUCAGGGCUAGGUGUUGCUGGGGGAUGAAAGUGGAAUAGCUGGGUGGAGGAGGAGCAGCAGGAGGCUGAAGGUGGAGUAGAUGCAGAGAUCGGGAGCAUCCGGUCGAGCAGUUGAACAUCGAGGCAGAGCCAGCUCUUCGCUGAGCACCUGAUGACCUGAUGGUCGAUGGGCGAAGGGGAAGCAGAUCCCACAUGAUCGUGGCUGGGCGGAGGAGAAGCAGCUACCAGGUGCUCCUGGGCGAGGGAUCAUGGUGGAGGCAGAUCCCAGGAGCACCUGGGCGAUGAGAUCGUGGUCGAGGUGCUCCUAGGUGAAGAGAUCGUGCUCGAGGACCUGGGCUAAGGCGAGGCAAGGAAGAAGGAUCCGCGAGGAGGAAGCGAUCGCGAGGGGAAUCGCGAUGUGCGAUCUGAAACAAAUCAAGGGUAGGAAGGACUUUUUAGUGUUUUUUCACCUGGUCGGAACAUUCCCCCAACAUCUUACUACAUUUUAGAAUGGAGGGAGUACAUAACAAAACAUACAACAGCAUACAGCAGUGUGGAGAUGAUAAGGACUGAAAAUAUGAGGAGUCCCUGUUGCUCCCGUGACUAUCAUGAUUGGUGUCUAGAUAUUUUCUACAAUGUGACCACAUAUCGAUGUUC